UUAGCUAUUUUAGAUAGGUUUGUGUUCAUGAUUCAUGGAUGCAAACGACACAAGUUUGUAUCUAUGAUGGCUAAGGAUUUUAAGUUCGACUUAACGCCACAUAGAUGAAAAUCUAUAGUGGCUUUUUCUUUGGAUUCAAUUUAUUUUGGAGACUAGGCUCAUUGUAGAUUUUCUAC
rfam:Enterococcus devriesei strain DSM 22802 Scaffold2, whole genome shotgun sequence.